AUUGAACGCUGGCGGCAUGCCUUACACAUGCAAGUCGAACGGUAACAGGUCUUCGGAUGCUGACGAGUGGCGAACGGGUGAGUAAUACAUCGGAACGUGCCUAGUAGUGGGGGAUAACUACUCGAAAGAGUGGCUAAUACCGCAUGAGAUCUACGGAUGAAAGCAGGGGAUCGCAAGACCUUGUGCUACUAGAGCGGCCGAUGGCAGAUUAGGUAGGUGGUGGGAUAAAAGCUUACCAAGACGACGAUCUGUAGCUGGUCUGAGAGGACGAACAGCCACACUGGGACUGAGACACAGCCCAGACUCCUACGGGAGGCAGCAGUGGGGAAUUUCGGACAAUGGGCGAAAGCCUGAUCCAGCAAUGCCGCGUGCAGGAUGAAGGCCUUCGGGUUGUAAACUGCUUUUGUACGGAACGAAAAGCCCCGGGUUAAUACCCUGGGGUCAUGACGGUACCGUAAGAAUAAGCACCGGCUAACUACGUGCCAGCAGCCGCAGUAA
rnacentral:rRNA from 1 species